AUGGGCGAGGAGCUCGUGCAUGUGCCGGGACUCCCCUCGUUCCCGGCAACGCACUCUUCAAAGCCGCUCAUGGAUCGUGACGACGCGGCAUACAGAGCUUUCCUGGGGGUGUCCCCCUACCUCUGCCGCUCCCAGGGCAUUAUCGUCAACACCUUCCGCUCGCUUGAGUCGCGCGCCGUCGACGCCAUCAGUGUCGGGCUCUGCACACCUCCCAGCCUCCCGACGCCUCAUGUCUACUGCAUCAGGCCGCUGAUCAAGUCGGAGGAGGUGGGCGUGAAGCACGACCAAGAGUGCCUGACAUGGCUAGACACACAGCCCAAGGCCAGCGUGGUGUUCCUCUGCUUCGGCAGCCGCAGCCUGUUCAGCGCAAAUCAGACCAGAGAGCUGGCCAUAGGCCUGGAAGCGAGUGGCAAAAGGUUCUUGUGGGUUGUGCGGAGCCCGCCCAGGGACAUCGACGGCCCGGCGAAGAAGCUGGACAAGCUGCCGGACCCGGACCUCGACGCUCUCCUCCCAGAGGGCUUCUUGGAGCGGACCAAGGGCACGGGUCUCGUCGUCAAGUCGUGGGCGCCGCAGCGUGACGUGCUGGCACACGACGCGGUGGGUGCCUUCGUGACGCACUGCGGGUGGAACUCCGUGCUAGAUACGCUCAUGGCCGGCGUGCCCAUGCUGGCCUGGCCGCUCUACGCGGAGCAACGGGUUAACAGAGUGUUCCUGGAGAAAGAGUUGGGUUUGGCCGUGGCGGUGGAAGGGUAUGACAAGGAGGUGGUCCAGGCCGACGAAGUGGAGUCCAAGGUGAGGUGGAUGAUGGAGUCUAAGGGCGGCAGAGUGCUCCGAGAGCGGACCUUGGCGGCCAUGCGGCUGGGCAAGGAGGUGCUGCUCCUGGGUGGGGAGUCGGUCGUGACCUUGACACAACUGGUGGAGAGCUGGAUGGCUUCACCUUCACAAGGGAGAUAG
rnacentral:rRNA from 1 species